CAUGUGGAUAAAUCAUCCGUCGCCUGCAAAAAUGAUCUUUAGACUUUGAGAUUACGUGCGGCCUAUAAAAAUAGUUGAUUUUUUAGGCUGGCCUCCUUAUGGGACGCCCACAAAAAUCAUUUUUAUAGACCAACCUCCUUAUGAGCCACCUGUAAAAAUUACUUUUGCGGUUGGGAAAGAAAGUGAUAUGUAUUACACUUGUAAGGAAAACAUGAGUAUUUCUCCUAGGUUUCAAGAGGUACCAAAUUUUAUAUAGAAAAUAGUGAUACCUUAUAUAUGGUACAUCCUCAAGGAUGGAAAAAUUGCUCGGAAUAAGAUAGAUAGCCACAUCUCCAAGCCCUCUCAUCCAGCCACAUCUCCAAACCGUCUCAUGCUCCGACGUAUGACGGUUAGAUGACCAGGGUGGCGCGCGACGGUUAGGUGAUGAUAGCGGUUCGGCAACCGUGGCAUGGGGAUCUGGCAGGGACGAUGAUGAUAACGCAUGGAUCUCGUAGAGACUGCAACGACGAGCGAGGCGCGGUAGCUCGGCACACCCAUAUAGACGCCUAUGACGACAACUACCAGAUCCAACACCGGCGAUCUCGGGAAGGACAGAUCCGACGGAGGUGGUGAUGAUAACAAUAGGAGUGGGGUCCGUGGAGGUGGAGAUGGAGAUGGCAGUGGGGGAGGUGAUGGCAGAAGUACAGUAGGGAAGUAAGGAGCGAAAGAUGAAACGGAACUAUCCGGUGGUGUUAAAGGAAAAGAAUAU
rnacentral:lncRNA from 1 species